UACGAAGGGGGCGAGCGUUGUUCGGAAUUACUGGGCGUAAAGGGCGCGUAGGCGGCGAUCCUAGUCAGAUGUGAAAGUCCUGGGCUUAACCUGGGGACUGCAUUUGAUACUGGAUUGCUUGAAUGCAGGAGAGGAUAGCGGAAUUCCCAGUGUAGAGGUGAAAUUCGUAGAUAUCUGGAGGAACACCGGUGGCGAAGGCGGCAUCCUGGACCAAAACUGACACUGAAAAGCGAAAGCCAGGGGAGCAAACGGG
rnacentral:rRNA from 1 species